GCUCCCCGCCCCAAAGAGGCGGGCGGAACCCAGGGCGGGGCUGCGGCGUUUCCGGCGGGAAGCUUAAGGCGGGACGCACUGGAGUGUGUCGCCGGCAGACGCCCCCGGCGGGCCGCGUCCCGCCAUGAAGUUUCGGGCCAAGAUUGUGGACGGGGCCUGUCUGAACCACUUCACCCGAGUCAGUAACAUGAUAGCCAAGCUUGCCAAAACCUGCACGCUGCGCAUCAGCCCGGAUAAGUUGAAUUUCAUCCUCUCUGACAAGGUGGCCAAUGGAGGGGUGAGCAUGUGGUGUGAGCUGGAACAGGAGAACUUCUUCAGCGAAUUUCAAAUGGAAGGUGUCUCUGCACAAAACAACGAGAUUUAUUUAGAGCUAACGUCGGAAAAUUUAUCUCGAGCCUUGAAAACUGCCCAGAAUGCCAGAUCUUUGAAAAUCAAGCUGACUAAUAAACACUUUCCAUGCCUCACAGUUUCUAUAGAGCUGUUAUCCUUGUCAAGCAGUAAUCGCAUUGUGACACAUGACAUCCCCGUAAAGGUUAUUCCUAGAAAACUGUGGAAGGACUUACAGGAACCUACAGUCCCAGAGGCUGACGUUAGUAUCUAUUUACCAGCCUUGAAGACGAUGAAAAGUGUUGUGGAAAAGAUGAAAAACAUCAGCAAUCACCUUAUUAUCGAAGCAAACCUAAAUGGAGAAUUGAACUUGAAAAUAGAAACUGAACUAGUGUGUAUUACAACUCAUUUUAAAGAUCUUGGAAAUCCUCCGUUAGCUUCUGAAAACACUUCUCAAGAUGGAAACUCAGAACAAAUGGCUGAAGUGCAAAUAGAUAUUAGGAAGCUCUUACAGUUUCUUGCUGGACAACAAGUAAAUCCUACAAAGGCCACAUGCAAUAUCGUGAGUAACAAGAUCGUCCACUUUGACCUGCUCCACGAAGACGCUUCCCUGCAGUACUUCAUCCCCGCGCUGUCAUAGCACCCCCUCCCUGGACGGGGCCCGGGACCUGGGUCUCAGCCCGAAGCAGUGGGUGAUGUCUGCUAAGUCAUUGUCUCUGUCCUCACAGCCAUCCGCUGCUUCUCAGUGCAGGAGGGACGAACCGUCUCUUUGACUGUUAGCCUCCGUAACGAGACGACCAGGGGAAGCAUGGGGCCCAUCAGCCACUGCCGUGGGAGUGUGGACUCUGCGUGUGCACCUUCUUCAGAGUCCAGUCUGGUGUGGGUGACGUAUGAAAGCCUUCAGAAAGGUGUGUGCCCUUUGCUUUAAUACUCCUUUUAGGAAUUUACACACACAUUCACAUAUUCGAAGGUGUUUGAGGGUCUCUGAUGUGGCGCAGUGGGUUGAUGAUCCGGCUUGUCGCGGUGGCAUUCCAGUUCAGUUCUCGGCCUGGCACAGCGGCUUAAGGAUCUGGUGUUACCACAGCUGUGGCUGGAAUUCCGUUCCUGGCCCAGGAACUUCCACAUGACUCUGUAUGGCCCAAAAAGAAAAAAAAAGAGUCUUUUAUACAGUUCUACUAAAAAAACAUGAAAUAGGGGGGAUUGGUUAAACAAUCUGUAGUUUGAUACAGUGUUUCAUACUCUAAGAGUAAUGUUACAGAAAAAAAUGUACUGAUAAUGCAAAAUGUCUGUGACUUCCAGUUAAGUUACAAAAAGCAGAUCAGGCUUUCGUGUGUACCGUCUGAUCCCAGUUUGGAGAAUAACAAUGUACGUGUGUGCGUGAUAGAAAAAGAUUGGGAAAAUAGGUACCAGCAUUUAAACUUGGUUAUUUCUGGAUGUUUGAUUUCAAUUUUUGUAAACUUAGGUAUUUUCUAAAACUUUUAUACUUGGCUUUGUAACGAAAAUAAAUCAUUUUUAUGGGACUGAGUAAUACUUAUUAUUUGAAUGCAGUACAUCAUCAGCUGGCAAUUAUAGUUUCCUAAAUAUUGGACUUGAGACUUAAUUUUCACAGCACAUCCUCCGAAGCAGCUCGUGACAGGGCAUCACCAGUUUCUGGAGCCUGCGGUCUUACCAAACGGGAACGAAGCAUCAGUGUGACUUGGGGGUGUUUGGUGCCUCUGUUCCUAGUGAUGCAGGCAGACCUCCCUUCAGACUGGACGUGUUGGAAACAACCAGGAGACAGUGGUGGCUCAAAUUCAGCUCUGCAGGGGGAGCUUAGCGGGGCCAUCUGCCAGGGACCAUGGCGUUGUCCUGAAUCAGCCUUGCCCUGCAAAUGCAGGGUUCGACUUUUGUCACGUGGUCUGGAUUGAUGUAAAUGCAGAGCUUUCUAAGGACGACUUUUAUUCAUGUUUUAGGAUAUCAAUUCUAUAAAAUAAUACGUUUGGUGUGGCUUUAAA